UGUACCUCGGGGCGCAGCAGUAGGGAAUCUUCCACAAUGGGCGAAAGCCUGAUGGAGCAACGCCGCGUGGGUGAAGAAGGUCUUCGGAUCGUAAAACCCUGUUGUUAGAGAAGAAAGUGCGUGAGAGUAACUGUUCACGUUUCGACGGUAUCUAACCAGAAAGCCACGACUAACUACGUGCCAGCAGCCGCGGUAAUACGUAGGUGGCAAGCGUUAUCCGGAUUUAUUGGGCGUAAAGCGAGUGCAGGCGG
rnacentral:rRNA from 1 species